AGUGAACGCUGGCGGUAGGCCUAACACAUGCAAGUCGAACGGCAGCACAGUAAGAGCUUGCUCUUACGGGUGGCGAGUGGCGGACGGGUGAGGAAUACAUCGGAAUCUACUUUUGCUUGGGGGAUAACGUAGGGAAACUUACGCUAAUACCGCAGACGACCUACGGGUGAAAGCAUGGGAUCUUCGGACCUUGCACGAUUGAAGGAGGCGAUGUCGGAUUAGCUAGUUGGCGGGGUAAAGGCCCACCAAGGCGACGAUCCGUAGCUGGUCUGAGAGGAUGAUCAGCCACACUGGAACUGAGACACGGUCCAGACUCCUACGGGAGGCAGCAGUGGGGAAUAUUGGACAAUGGGCGCAAGCCUGAUCCAGCCAUACCGCGUGGGUGAAGAAGGCCUUCGGGUUGUAAAGCCCUUUUGUUGGGAAAGAAAAGCAGCAGGUUAAUACCCCGCUGUUCUGACGGUACCCAAAGAAUAAGCACCGGCUAACUUCGUG
rnacentral:rRNA from 1 species